UGCAAGGUAUUUUGCACUACAGGAGCUCCAGUCUCUGAGGGUGGCAGGACAUGUCCUGACAUGCGGCACUUCUCUACCAGCCCUGUUUUCCUUUGGCACUCUGCUGAACUCCUACCUGAACUUUGGGAUCCACACCAUCUCCUCUCAAAUCUCCUUGGCAGUUCUCAAGAAGUGGGGGCAUUUCUCCCCCCACAACGGCCAUCAUGAUCAAUUAGUAGCCAUGAGCCCCUGCAGGGCCCCCUGUUGUUUAGGGUGGUUUGUCCUCAGCUUCUUUCCAACCCUGCCUUGAAAACGAACUCAUAACUACUUUUUGGCUGCCAUUUGCCGCUGUGCUUCCAGUGCUCUUCUCAGAUUGGAAAUCUCUUGAUCUUGCCUAUCUGUUGUGGUUUCAUUUGGGAAGCACAGAACAGAUAAAGAGACACUUAGGCAAGAAUGUCUCUUAGAUACUUAAAAACCCAAGUGGUCUCUGAAUGGACAUCUGGCAACUUGCAUUUGCUGUUGGCAGGAAGGCUGCUGCCUUUGGAAGCCAGCAGGUGUCCUUUGGAUGGAGCUGCGAUCACUGGAUGUCUCACGGUGCUUUUAUCCAAUCCCAAAUCUGCUCCUGCCCCUCCUUGAAGGGCUGUGGUGGAUGGUGCUCCAGUGCCCAGCCCCAGAAUGUCACAUACACGAUGCUGUCCUGCAGCCUGGCUGCUACCAGCAGCUCUCUUCUGUUCACACCUCAUGCUGAGUUUGUGACCCCACCUCUGUUUGGUGGAGAAAGAAACGCCAUAGGAAGGACUGUAUGCUGGCUCCACAUCUCCGUGGGCUUCCCUUUGGGCUCUGCAGGCUGAUCUGCACAGAGAUGCCUUUAACUCACCUGGACCUUCAUUUCUCUGUGCAAAUGCGCAUCACCUGCAGUGCCACCUGCGGGCACAACCCAAACCCCUCAGUCAUGGCUGUGACAGGUUAGCUCCCUCCUUUGCUUUUCUGCUCUGCAGGCUUCAGGUUAACAACUCAUCUUGUCGUGCUGUCUGUGCAGGCACUGAUGUGUGUGCACAUCAUUUUCUGUUGUCAUGUUUCCCCCCAGCACCACCCACAGGCCUUUCUUUGCGGUUCCCUUUCCCUUCUGCCUUUUAUCUCUGCAGGAUCUCCUGGAUGCAUUUCGGAACACGGGAGGUACAGUCACUGCACACCCACUCCCUGCACGCUGCCUUUGUCCAUGGGGUUGCAUGGCCUGAACUGCACAGAAGGAGAGGACAAUGGGACAGAGAGCUCAGCGGUAGGGGAACGUGUGGAGAGAGAUGGGAGGUGUGCUCGGGGGUUUGGGCACACAGAGAUGUGGGACAGACAAAAGAGUGAAAAGCAGCUUUUUGGAAGGCUGUUGCCACCACCCCCAGCCCAGCCUUGUGUAAGUGAUUGUGCUCCCCACAGUGCCUUUAGAAAUCCCCAAUUUUUUCUCAUUAUUCAUGUUUUUAUCAAAGUUAAGGCUUACAGUUACCACCCCUGGGAUACUGCAUGUGUUCCUCCUUUGGCACAAAGCUCCUGCUUCAGCCACAGCCACCUUUUGGAAAGACAUCCAUCCUGCCAUUAGAACUACUGGUGAAUCACUUCAUCCCCAUGGAUGCCAUUCUGCUGUUUAAUUACUCACCCUGCUUCCCACUCUGAAGUUGCCUCAUUUCAGUUUCCAGGCUCUGGAUCUGCCUGUGUUUUCAGCUACUCACUGAAGCCCCUCUUAUCAUCACAAAGCUUUUUCUGAGCUGGCAUUUGUAGGCUGUAAUCAAGUUACCCACCUGUCUCCUCUUUCAAAGAAAACAGAUUGGGUUUCUUUAAUCUGCCCCCUGCAAACCCAGGUGAGCAGAGGCUUUUUUAUUUUCUCAUGCAUGCUAUACACCCUGGCUGUAAGAGCUGCAAGUGUCAUUUGUGUACUGAGAGAGCUGCUGAAAGAGAGGAGAGUCUGUUCUGCAAACUGCAUUUGCAGGGGGGUCACAGGGGAUGCUGGGAGCUCUUCCAGAGAGCAGCCCCAGCCGUGCUCCAUCAGUGAGGGCAUCUGUUGGUGAGCUCUGCUAAUUCAGUGUAGGUAAGGCAGUGUGGCUGCAUGUUUGUAAAAAGGAGCAAACAAGCAAAAAAAUGAAUGGGAGUUAAUAUCUGCUCGGGAGAUGUGGAUUGAUUUCCUGCUCAUCUGCCAAUCUUUAAUUAUUAUUAUGCAUCAUGGUAUUUAGUUUCCUAAACAAAAGGCAAUGAAAACCGAAUAGAGUAACAUCAGAUACCUCUAACUUGAUUUAGGUAUAACAGCUUUAUUAACUCAAAACUGAAACAUUCCAAGGGAGCUACUGCAGAUCCAAGGGCUCUGUGUUGACUUUGGGAAGCCCCCAUCAUGCUGCCCAGCCAGGGCCGGCUCCCAGUGGAAGCAGCAGUUUCCUCCUGCAGCAAAGUGCCCGGGGUUAAAGCUCCUUGGGUCUCAUUUGGGGCACUGGUUCUCUUCACUCUGAGAAGUGCCCGUACUUCAACAUCCAUUAGUGCCUUAUCUCUGCAAGCCUGCCCCGCUCCUGCUGCUCUGCUGGGCGCCGUAGGGAACGUCACACUGCAGCACUCGGUGGCCCUGUCAUUCCUUGUGCAUGUCAUGGCUUCAUCGUGUGUCUCGUUAGUUAAUUAGAUGACAGAAGAGCGAGUGGCACCAGUCAGAGCAGCGCUACAGAAUGUGUGAAAAUGUCAAAUGAGCUCAUGGAGUGAAGCCCAAGGUGCUGCCCGUUGUGAGAGCCCACGUUGGGCAGCUUGUUCCAGUCAGGAUGAGCACGGCCUGACACAUGGCCUGCACUGCCUGGUCUGUGCUGUCUGUGGACCCAGCUGUGCCCCAGUGGGACCUUAUUUUUCAAAGAACACGUUCCUCAGACAAAAAUCACUAUUCCUAUUGGAGAGGGAGGUGAAAGCCAGAGGUUAAUGGACUUGAAGGCUGGAAGAUGCUGUCCCAAUGGCUACACAGCCUCCUGCCCACACUCCCCCAUGUGUUUCAUGCACCGGGUGUGUAAGGGCAGCAAGUUUGCCCUGCAGUGACAGCCAGGCUUGGCUUCAUAAUGGUAAGAAGCACACCUGCAUUCGUAGCAAGCUUGCUCAGUUUUUAUUAUCAGCACCUUGCUUAUAGCCUGAGUUUAUCUCGCUGCACUUCCUAAUCCCUCCAUCUUUUCAUUCCUUUGGUUAUCAGCUUAGGCAACCUUCUGCAGCCAGAAAUGGUUCUCCUGAACAACGCACACGCGAUCCGAGAGAAGACACAGCCACGCCAUCCUGGCACUGGGUGGGCUCUGCUGAGGGGCUGCUGCAUCCUCACAGGGGUCACGUCCUCAUAUAGAGCCUCCCUGGGAAUGGGCUUUGGUCCCUUGCAUGUUUCUCCUCGGGAGCUUUGGGCACCAGCUCUGUCCUCCUGCAGCCUGGGGCAGGGUGUACACCCACAGGGGAUGCAGGGCAAUGUAUGAAGGCAGGAAAAAGCUCCCAGUGCAACACGCCUUCUGCAAUUUGCUUUUCUGCUCAUGCUACAAUAUUGAUUUCAAAACCCCUCUCCUGCUUAUUUAGUUCUGAAGUGGAGCAGCGCGCCGAUGGGCUGGGAGCAGCUCCCGAGUCGAGGGAGUGUAUCGUACAUGGCUAAUUGUAUGGUCUGCACUGCCUUUUAUCUUAGCUUGCAAUUCAUUUAGCAGCAGAUCUCUCUGUUCGUCAGUUUUGAUUCCUGGGGUACCAGAUAAUUUCAUUUGCAGAUGGAUUUUAUGCUUUCUGAUACUUCAGUAACCCCAUUUGGUAUAAGCACAGCUCUUCAUUUCCCUGCGAGGACGCGGACAACGAGCAGGAGCUGAGCACAAAAACAGCCAUUUAUUUAACCAGCGAGUACAAUUUCCCGUGCCCCGUUUCUCACCAACCUCACCAGCCUCUGUGCAGGUGCCACAUGCAGGUGAGGCAGACAUGGCUCGUUUCCAGUUCUGUUUGCAGGUAGCAUUUUCUCUGCACUGUGCUGCAGGACAGCGUGGAGUGGACACCCACUGCCUAUAUCUCAGGGAUGAGCUGCUCUGCAGAGGGACUCACGUGUUGCUGACUGCAGUGCUACGGGCUUCGGUGUAUGGGAUGCAUUGGACCUCCUGUUGCUGCAGUGACCCGUGGGAUCAGAGAGCGAGAAAAGCUUCAUCCCAAAUAGCUCCCGAUUACCAUUUACACUCCUUACUUCUUGUCCUCUCAGAUCGAUACUGCUCUUAAGUACUGCAAAUUGGAGGAGAGCCAUCAAAAUGCUCUAUUUUCACAACAGACGUACGAUGAGAUCACCGGCUCCGAGCCACCAACCCCUUUAUGUCAACGAUUUCUCCAAAGGAACUUUCCGUGUCAUUUCCGAUACCACUUUCAAAGACAAAUAGCAGGAAGUGCUCUUUGAAUCCCAACGUGACUUCUCACGCUGGAACACGUUGGUUAAUUUGGACGGCAGCAGUAAAAUGUGUUGAAAACGAUGGAAAUACCAUAAACCAGCACAGAAAGUGAGCCCAUUUCAAUCCUCCAGAAGAGACCAGCAUGUUUUGUUUGUUAUAUUCUUCAUAUAUCCACAAGUUAAUGAAGAGUGGGUUUUUUUUCCUUUCAUUUUUUUCUCUUCAUCAGUCAACAUGGGUUGGUUUUCCUCUCUCUAUUUUUUUUUCUUUAUUGAGGGGAAGGAACUGCGCAGAGGAAAGGGAAUCAAAGGGAAAGCUCUUGGAAGGCCAUGAGAGCCUUGAAAGGAGAGCAGCCUCCUGCACACUGGGCAAGGAGGUGGCAGCCUGCAGGUUGGUGACAGCAGUGUUUCGGGCCCCGCCAUCCCCGUGAGCACCCCCAGUGUCAGAUGUCCAAGCCAUGGGGCACAGCAGAGCAGCAGAAGAGCUGAGUGGAGAAGGGUGUUGGAGCGGCUGCAUUGCAAAAUGGCUCAUUUUCCUUUGAGAUUAAUUGGCUGAAUUCUGACGAAACCUGUUAUUAACCGAACACCGCCACCUGCUUAAUUGAGUUCUGUGCAAAGCGCUCCCAGAAACUGGAAGCCUUCCCCCCUCCUCCAGCGCCUGUGUUCAUCUCCAUCCAGGGAAAUUCAUGAGAAUUUGUUAAAAAAAAACACACAAAAAACAUUGGCAAUUCAGAGCCAAAGGCAACAGGCCUCUCAACAUGUCCAAAUACAAACUGUUCUAAUGAAUGUCUGCUGUCAAAUGGCCAGGACAAAAAAAAAAGGAGAAACAGGACAGCAAACGGAGCUACAACUUCAGCAGUCACCUGCUGAAGGAUCCUGUGAAUCAAAGAGGAGUAACCGCCCACCCCUGCUCUGCCUACAGUGAUUCAAGGCAGACAGCAUCAGCCUGAUGCCCCAGGUCUUACAUUUUGUAAUGGAAAGUUAGCUGGAGAGAGAGUGCACCACUUGGUCCUGGAUGGUGGUGUGCGGGCAACGCCUCCAUCAGCAGCAGGAAGAGGAAUGGGAACCAGCCCAUCCUUGGGGUCUCCUGCACCACAGCACAGCCUGGGUCUUCAUACAGCAGAGAACAGCCUGCUAUGUACAUUCAGUGCAUAUUCCCCAUGCAUUUGGCUCGCAGGCUCUGCCCCAGUGGCUCUGGGUCCUCUGCCACCGUGCCAUGGGGCUGUGCAGCACUCAGAGCAACCACAUCAAUAUUCAUCUCUUUGUAAAGAUGACCUGCCCCUGCUGCUCAGAGUCACUUCAGAUUAUUCGUAUCGAUCCAGCACUGUUAAUGAUUAAAUACAAUGUUCUUCAAAGCUUGCAUUUAACAAGAAAGCUUGAUUGGAUUUACUGUUUUGAGGUUGGGUGUGUUGUUUUCCGUUAUUUUGCUUCCCCCCUUGUCUUUGUGGAACAUCGUGUCAUUUUGCAAAUGAAGAAUUACCCUCUUGCCUUUUAUUAAAAGCUUCCUUCUAAAGGAUUCACAUUGCGUUGCUGAAUCAGAUGGAUGCUGUGUUGCAACACCCACUGCCACCUCAGUCCACCCCCCGCCAGCCACCCGCAGUGCAGGGACAUUGGGUGUAGGGGUACCAGCUCUGGGUGCUGCCACCCUACAACAAGUCCAUGCCCACACCCCUCCGGGCUCAGCAAAUCAGCAGUGCUGGGGUCAGCGGUACCCAAAGCCCUCUGUAUUUUUCAGGAUCGUUAGAAAAGAGACGUUGACAUUUGUGUCCCAGCUUUUGUCAGCUGAGACAAACAACCACAACAUCUGAUGCCAGUCCUGGAGAACGUUCCAUGCCUUUAAAGAGAAAAUCAAAAGACAAAAGCACCAAAAGAAGUUUAGCUGAUGUUCUCCAUUUGCAACGCUGAGAGGGCAACCUGAAAACCCCAGCACAACCUACAGUGCAGUUUUACCUUUGUGUUUCCACCGUCCAUCCAAAUGCCAUCCUCCAUUGGCAAUGCACGGAAUUGGAUCUGAAGGAGGAAUAAGCUCCAUGCACCAUGAUGCAAUUGCUGCACACCCCUGGGGAAGUGCUAUGGGAGAGUUUCACUGCAAAAAGAGCUGUCAUUGCAUUUAUUUUUCUGCUUGUCUGAGUGAGAAAACAAGGCUCAAUCACACAUUGUAAGAGAAGAAAAACAAGGAGAGGACAUGGCAGUGAAACCAUCGAGCUAGCACUUGUUAGUAGCAGUUUGAAAGGAAGGGAAAUCAAAGUUCCAGUGAGAAGUCAGUGUCCUGGCAAAGCACAGCCACGAAGCAGCAGCAGAGGACAGCCCACCAGGAGCCCUGUGCUGCCCACUGGGGAGGGUGCUGUGCAGUGCCACUUGGGCUGAGGACAGAGCGCACAGCAGCCCCAGCGCUACCCAUAGCAGCAGCAGAGCUAUGUACCCAUGGGCAUGUGUGUGUUUGUGCCCAACUCCCCACGCCUGAUAGGAGAUGGAUAAAUAGAAGUGACCCAGAGGUCUGGGGUUACAUCUGCUUAGACUCAAUGACUCGAAAUCCAUUUCAGGCUCCUUGGAGGCCCUGUUCAGCGCUGUCAUGCUGGAGCCAGGAUAUUAAGGGCACCUGUCAGGGCUAUUUCAGGAACCAGAGGCCUCCCUCCCCUGCAUGCUGAGCUCACGGCGUAUCAGAUGAGGUCUGCUGGAGCAGUGCACAUGGAAAGUCUGGUUUUCCAGUGAGAAGUCUGGAUGAGAAAGUGACUUUCUGAGCCCCCUUGUCACUGCCGGCUCCAGCUCUGACCAUGACACCAGGAUACAGAUGGGGGCAACCAGGCUUGCUCUUCAUUGAGGGCUAUUUCUACAAAUACCUCAUGUUUUCUCUUUCUAACCGCUGCCACAGGCUUCAGUUCCCCCUCAGCAUGACCUGAGCUGACCUCAGGCACAUCCGCAUGGCCAUUUGGGCUCCAGCACAGCCUGUCCCUGCAGGGCUGUGGUAAUAGAGCCUGCAGCCAGAGCACACUUGGCUUGAUCCAGAACAGCCUGGGGGAGAAGAUAAAUAAGGGAGGGACAGAGUGUUUUAAUACAGGAGACAAAAUAAACAUGUUAAGUGCUCUAUAUGCAAAAGCAGGAGGAAUCCCACCGCCUCAGGAAUGUUCCUGCUGUGACUUGCAUGUGGAACAAACCCUCUUCAAAGGCUUCAUCACUGAAUGUUUCUCUCUGCAAACCCUGCUUUCCAGGGCAGGGAAAGUCUCUGUCACACAGCCAGCUCCUCAUUGAGGAGCUUAGGAGGUAAGUGCUCCUCCUGGCCAUCACAGAACCAAAGGCACUUCAGCCUCAUCCUGUUCUUUCUUUUCUCAGAGGGGAUACGGGAAAAACACUCAGCAGAGCUUUAUAUGUCAUGGAGAGAUGUUCAAAAUCACAAGUAGUUGCAGAUAGAGAGCUUCAGACUGUGGUCAUUCAUGCAGCCAAGACUCAGUUGCUGACUGACAGAGCCCUGCCUUCCAGCAGGCUCAGCCCCACACCUAGCACGGUGUGCUCAGCCUGGUUCCCAGCUCUCCUUACAGACACCUGCAGAUGAGCAGGCAGCCAGAACACCCAGCAGCUGCUCCUGGCUCCUGAUGAGGAGCCCAUUGCUGAAGGGAGAUCCCAUACUGCUCACCAGUUCAGAUCCAGGGCAAGAAAAACUCAUGCUCUUCACUGGUGCCAGCACAGAAUUCAGUUGUUUGGGAUGUACACGAAACAAAAGCAAGCCCUGCCUUCUUAGAGCAGCUUCUCUCUACACCUCCAGCAGUUCUGCCCUAAAGCCUUAUCCUCUGAGCUGGAUUACACAGUACACCCCCUUGAAAGAAACCUCCUCUUAGCACCUUCACUAACGUGCUGACCCACUCAUUAAAAACCCCAGCUGUCCAAUUUCCUGCAUGCUAUACCCACAAACCCAGAGCUACGGGGCAGGCCCAGCUGCAGAGAAUUUAAAGAUCCAUCUGUGCUGAGUGGCUGCUGGCAGGGCUGGUGGGAAGGCAUAAAGGUGUAAAGGGCUCUGGCAGAGCCUGUGCUUGCUUCUGAUGUUGCUUAGCUAGAAUGGUCGGAGCUGUAAGAGAUGGAAGUGCUGCUUCAAGGCUGAGUUCCUCCUGGUGCUUCUGCUCAGAGGGCUCUGCUCUGUCUGCUGUGGAGGAGCCCUCAGUGAGUCCCCAUUGCGGGGACUGAUCACCUGUUUUGAUGUGAUUUGCUUAAUGGGAGCUGAACGAUCCGGAGCUCUGCUCCUGGUGCAGUAAAUGAUUCCCCUGCUUACAAAUCCUGUUGUAUCAGCAGGAGUGCUUUGUAUUGCUAAAAGCUGCAGCACUCACUAACACAGAGGUGUAUCUGCAGCUGAAACUCAUCCCUGUACUUGAGUGGGGAAAUGAUACUUUUCAACACUUUACAUCCAGAGCUGGAAGGGAAUCUCCCACUCAUCCCUCCUAUUGUUUCUCCUCACUUCAUCUUUGAAACUGUGGAGAGGGCAAAGGAAUGGAGGAGACGUCUGUAUAGGUGAAGCUGGAGCUUCGUUCACGUGCAGGGCUUCGGGUGUCCCCUCCACGUGUGUGCACCAGCUCCGUGUCUCCACCUGCGUUGUGCACAGCAGGGCCGGGUCAGCAUGGGAUGGAGCACACGGGCAGGCAUGAAGGGCACUUCUGUCAUCAGACAGACAUCUGCCUGCAGCAGGACGGAGCCACGGACUCCUUCAGCAGGUGCUGCCCUGGAGAGAUUAACCCCCAAAAGGGGAUGGAAAAACAGCCCUGACGUGAACCUGCAUUCCCUGCUAGCAAGCCUGCAGAUAAAUUCGGGUGCAGUGCAGGCCCCGUGAGUCAGCUUCCUUUUUCUGCUGUCUGAUAAUACCACCCUGAGAAGGGUUAAGUGAGGUUGCAGGGGAGGUUUCCAGGAAAAAGCGUUGCUCUGAGGACUACUGGAGGGCCCGGUUAUGCCUCGGCACUGUAGGCGUGGAGUGAUGCUGGGUUUACACCUGUGGAAAUGGGGGUGAGAUGCUUUUUGGAUGUGACAGCCCACCCCAACCAGCAGCCAGCUCUCCAAAGGGACACUUUUCUGCAGCUGGGCCGAAGUCCCCACACCAGAGCUUUGCUGCUCCGGGAGAAAAGCCAUGCAGAAAACCCUGGGAAAAGCUGUGGCUGAUGAAUUGCUGCUGUGCAAAGUAAUCCCUUCAGCCUGGCAGAAUCUCUGUUUACCUCUUAGUGCCUAACACUAGUGUUUGCAGGAGAUGGCCUUGCUGUGGCAGGGUCGUGCUCUCACCAGGUUAAAUUACUCAGCUAUUGACUGCGUUCAUUAGUCAGAUACUGACUCACCGUGAUGAAGAAAAUGAGGAGUGCUACAGCAUUACUUUAUUACUCAGUCUGCUGAAAGAAAACGGCUCCCCUUUUACCUCUCACCAAAAAGUUGAGUAUUCAAAAGAUCAGAAGUACAUCCCAGCAUGAAUCAGCCAGGAGAUGUGUAUGUAAGAUCAAAUGGAUCGUCAAUGCAAUUAGCAGCCUGGGUUCCUGCAGGGGUAGGUGUUUUACUUACAUACUCUGUUCAGUGUUACAUCUCCAUGUCCCAUCCCCUCUGCAAGCCUUUCUUCUCAGGUAUUCCUUCCCAUCUUCCUGCUGUCACAAACAUCCCUCAGCUCCCAGCAGCAGCUCUGUAACCAACAGUGUAAAUUCCUUCUUCUCUCCUUCCCGAGAGAUGCUACUUUUAUUUAUCUUUUUUUUUCCUUUUUCUGAUUAAUUAAACCUACCUAAUUUUCUCAUUGCUGCUGCCUGCUCAGAUCAGAGGGAGGAAGCUCGGCGUGUUGGGCAGCAGCAGGGCGCUGGACCCCGGGUUACCCCCACGUGAAUACCCUAUCAGUGCAUGUGGGCCCAAGAGAAACAGCACUGAAGGAAUGAACCGUGAUGAGACUGUUAUUUUAUAGGACUUUCUGGAAAUGCCCAUGUCCCGUACAUAGAAUUAUCGUAGCCAGCAGCAGGAGGUGAUAAGCCAGGAGGACUCACCAAACGUCUGAGAGCUCCGAGCACACAAAUCUCCAUGGCAUGGGCUCUCACCCUCUGAAUUUCUGCCCAAUGGGAGGUAGGAAGCACUCCAGUGCUGCUGCCCAGGGUCCUCCCUGAACAAGGAGGAGACAGCUUGUAGGAGAGGAGGACUUGACACCUCUACUGUGUUGAAGCCAAGGUCUCCGACAGUGGCACCUGAUGUCCCAGAGGAAGAUGGAGAAUACAGAAAGCAAGCCCUGGGUGAGCGCAUAAGGUUUUCCUCUUCUUCAGCCAAGUUAAUAAUAGAGCAGGGUUCAAACCAAGAGAGCUGUGUUGUAUUUUAAGCUGAUCAGAAUUCCUUCAGGGGAGCCAAUAGAAUACACACAACUGGCUGGUGCACUGGCAGUGAGAUGGCUGCAGAAAGCAGUGCUGGGGGAGGAAAGCCCCUCUUGCAUUGCGCUCUGAUACCCUCAUCUUGUUCAAUUUGGGACCUCCACCUCCCAGUGGGUGUGAUUAACCAGGACGAGCCUUCAUCAGCAUUUAGGAUAAAUGUGUGGAGCUCGGGACCAGAAUUGGCCAAGCUGGCAUAAGAGGGGUAGAAGGGCAUAAGAAAUGUCCCUGGGAGACACGCGUUAUGGAUGGAUGGAGACUGUUUCUUCUCAUCAGCCAUGUAAAAGAUUACAGGGAUCAGUGUUAAGUUGUAAGGCUCCUGCUGCUGUGAGGAGGUUGGGCUUUAAGGAAAUACAUCCCUAUGCCAGAAGGAGAGCAAGAAGACAUCUCCUGGGUGCAGCUCAGGCAGUUGCUCCAGCAGGCAGCUGGAGAGUGCUGGGCUAACAGACUUUAGAAAGAUGUUUUCUUCCUUCAAAGUUACCCAGUCAAGUGGUUUCCUAUUAAAAGUCAUCACAAAGACGUUGCCCUGAGGUUCACGUGGCAUCACCCAGUUGGCUCUGCAGUCCCCAGUUGUGCUGUGGUGAUGCUCUGGUACAUUCUGUAACUGCUAAUCAGCUCUAUACAUGCACAACCGCCCCAAGAAUCGAUGCUUAAAUAAACACUGGGAAUUAUGAGCUAAUGAAAUGGGCGUUCAUUUCUAUUCUGGGGCCACUUGUUCUCUUGUUCCUCACAAGUAUGCAGGGUUUGCAUGCUGAAGUUGCAGUUCCCAGCUCUGCAUCUGCUGAAAUCUUUCCCAUGAUAUUGGCAGUGGCAUCUUGCAUAAAAACACAUCGGCUCCCAUUGAAUCACCACCACUGCAUCAGUUCACAUCUACGAGGCUCUGGAGUUCUGCUGCCCACUAUUCUUUAUCAGUGUGCAUCGGGGAUGUGAAGACUUCUUAUGAAUCAAUCACAGAGGAAGAAAAUGAUGGCAAAACCAGAACCAUUGUCUUCCCUGAGGUUUCAGGACAUUUGCCUGGGCAGAGCUGCUUUGCUCUCAGUCUCCUCACUCCCUGAACCAGCUUUAUUUUUGCAGUGUAUGUCACUGGUGCUGUGUGUUGUUCAUUCCUUUUUCAUGGAAUCAUUAAGGCUGGAAAUGACCUCUAACCCAACCCAUCCCACCGUGCCUACUGACCAUGUCCCGCAGUGCCAUAUCUUCAUGGUCCUUAAACACCUCCAGGGACAGUGACUGCACCCCCUCCCUGGGCAGCUGUGCCACUGCAGCACCACGCUUUCCGAGGCCUCAGGCAGGAUGAGGGCUUCAGGUGGCAGAAGAUGCAGUGGGAUAAAAACAACGCUUAUUGAAAGCUCCCCAGGGACUUGCUCUGCUGGUGUGUCUUUAUGAAGGAUAUCAGCUUUGGAGCUCUCCUGGCAGCUCUGGGUGCUGCCACCUGAUCUGGCUCCUAUCAUCAAGAAAAUCCACUCCCAAAAGUUCCUCUUCCGGAUUCCUUGGUCUGUGCAGACUGUCCCUUUUCAGAUAAGUUCCCUGACCCCAAACACCUUUGCCCUCCUUCCCUGCUCCCCUCUUUCAUGUCUGUCUGGGGGCCGUGCCUCUGUCCUGCCCUGGUGUGGAUGCUUCCUGUAGUGAUGCUCAGGGAGCUCAGCCUUGCACCUUUUGGCCAUCCCAGGUUUGCUGCAGAAUUGCCAUUACUGUCCCAGCUGCUGUUGCUCGAUGUAUCCCAAGCUCCUUGCCCUGCUCCAUCCAUGCAGAGGGAGUCCUUCC
ensembl:lncRNA